AGCGGGCGGGGCCCGGCCCGGGGCCGCGGCUCUCCCCGGUGCCCGUUCCCCUUCCUUGUUUCCCUUCCUUCCCUUCCCCGCCCCGGGGCGCCGCGCCUGGGCUCCAGGCCUCGGCCGCGCCGCUCCCGUGGUGGGGCCGCGCCCGGGCCCUUUCCCCGCAGCCCCGGCCCGGGACUUUCCCCGCUUCCCCCCCGCCCCGGCCCCGGCGGCCGCGCUUCCUCGGGACUUUCCUCGGCGUCCCGGCAGCCGCCUCCCCCCCCCCCCCCCCCCACCCCCCUUUCCUCGCCCCAGAGCUUCCCGGAGCCUCCCCGCCGCUGCCCUUCCCCGUGCCCGGCACCAGGAAGCGCGGCGGGGGGGCCCGGAGCGGCUCGGGGGGGGCCGCCCGCUGCUAGGCCGGGGGGGGGGGGCAGCAGCCGGGGGGCUCCCGGCCCGGCGAGCGCUGCCGGUGGGGUCGUGGCUGGGUGAGGGGCUCGCUGCUGCUGCUUUGGCUCUGGCACUUAUCGCGGCUGAGUGUGCCAAGGCGUGGGGCUUAUCAAAGGGAUCCGGCCCCAAAGCCGGGCCUGCUGCGCGUUGUCAGGAGGUAACAGGCAGCAGAGAGCUGGGGCAGGGCGUGCUCGUGGCCGGGCUGAGCUAAGUGUGAUAAAAAGCAGCGCUGCACAUGGCCGGAGCUCGCCCCGCGGUGUGAGCACGGGGCACGCACACAGGGCUUCGCUCGUGACUUUUCCCUCGUGAACUCCAGGCAGUUAUUAGGGUACCGCAGGGUAACGCUGUGGGCACGCUUCUCAAGGCCUUCUUGUUUGCUAAACUAAACUGUGCUGGCACGGAGUUCGCUCAAAGGGGAAUUCAUUGCCCAGUUGUGAGAGUUGUUGUCAUGGUUCAAUUUCAAGCAGGCAAGUACGCUUUCCAGCUCAAAUCAUGGUAACGUGCAUAUACUCCAGAUAUGUAGGAACGGGUUCAUGAAAUGUAUCUUGGAAAUUCAUGUUUGAUUUUUUCUUUGAGAGAAAAAUGGACACCUUCAACGAUACCGGCAGUAGGAAGUGCUCCUCACACUAACAGAAGAGUACAGUAAUGUCUGUGGAAAAGGCAACUUCAUCGUUCUUAAGUGUUACUGCAAGAACAACACAACCUGGAAACAACUGAAAAACACAGUCUACCUGUGCUACGUUUGUGUACGGUGCCUCUUGUGCUCACUAGUUUUACAAAGAUCUAGAAGCCAAAUAAUAUUCUUUAAAGUUGUAUAAUUUUAAGCUAUAUACAUAUGAAAUAGUAAUCAUUUUGAAAAUUACAUGAAUUUGUACUUUAUUGAAUGUACUUCUGUAUGGUGACACUAAGCUUGGAACGUUUGUCUGGGAUACCAGAGUAAUUCUUUCAGAAGUACUUAAGGCUUUAUGCCUGUAUACCCUGUCUACACGCUGUUGUGGUAUUCUUGGGGUAGUGUUAAAUAAUGGUAGAUUAACAGAACUGAUUACAACUUCAGUUCACAGUUAAUAACGGAUGACAAAGUCAAGAUUUUUGUCUAUUUUAAUAUUAAGAUCCUACACAACUUUUAUGGUUUACUUGUUUGAUGGCUCAUUUGAGGAGAAAACAGUUUAAUGCCUAAAUGAAAUCUGUUUCAAUUGAUUGUAAAUUCGUUUACAUUUGCAUAAUUAAAAAAAUAAAUAAACUGGAAAAGGAACAUAACCAAAAGCAAUCACUAGUGUUGCUGUACAGAUGAAGUGUACUGCAAUGUCUGUAUUCUGAUGCUUUAUAACCCUCUGCAUGGCUUAUGGUUAGAACAGAAGAGUUAUCAGUAAUUAACUCUGAUAGGACCUGAUCAUGCUUGGUCAGGUUCUGAUACUAGAUAACUUCAAGGGCUGUUCUAGAAAUUUAUUUCUUUACUACCAGUGAAUAAAUACAACCUUCCUAAAAACAUGUAUUCCAGCUGGUCAUUUUGAAUGUAGUUUCAAUUACAUGAGAAGAAAAGUCAUGCCAAUUUUCUUUUUUUUAUUAUUAUUAUUAAGAAACUGGGGAAAGGUAGAAUUUACCUUAAGCAGAUACACACAUCUGAAGUUUCUAGCAUAUAGUGCCUUGAAUUUUCAGACUUCCUAACAAAAAAAAAAAAAAAAGUGAAGUGAAUCUCAGUAUUUUCAUCAAUACCCUCAGAGUUGCUUAGUGUAGGGAUCUGUUCAUUGACUGAUGUUAUGAGCAAUUUUGACAUUUAUAAAGCAGUCCUUAGGGGCAAUAUUCUCCUCAACUGUUAGGAGCAUGCUUCAUUGAAUGAUAUGGAAAUGCAUGCAAAUAUAUUAAACACUACAUAAUUAUUAUCAUGUCUUUUGAGGAAUGGAAAUAACUGAUAAAAUCUGAGGGUGAUUUUAAGAAGUGUGGGAAUAGUAUUAGAAAAUACUGAAAAGAAGCAAUGAGACCCCCAAAAAGUUUGGAAUUAACAAGUGGUCAUGCUUUGCCUAGGCUGAUCAGAUGCUGAACGUCAUUGCAAAUCUAUGACAAAUUGUUUCCUGGUAGAGCACACCCUUCGAUGUUGUUGGACUUCUGAGUUGUGUCGUAGUGGCUUGUGCUGCAGGAUAUCAAACGACCUAUUUCCCGCUGUGCAUGGGAGAAAUUCUGUUUUUUUCUGGACACAUGGGGGAGUUGUAGGAAGGUAUUUAUAUGAGCUAUCAGUAUCUGAGAGAUUAAAUCUGCAUCCUUGCUAUAGAUUGAGAAGAAUACUACCCUUCAUUAAAAUAGCACUCAGCCUCUAGCACGUAUCUGGGAUUUAAAAUUAAAACAUUUAGGACUUUAUACUGCUGGAUGAGGCAGUGUCUGGCAAAGGUGAUUAUUUCAGAAGUGUACAUGGAAAUUAAAUAAAAUCAGGUUUUUAAAUAGUAACUUUGAAAUACCAUCACCCAGGAACCUAAGCCAGUAGUUUAUCAUUGCUUUUAGAAGGCUCGAAUGGUUCAGUUCUGUGCUACGGCAGAGCCACUCUCAUGAGCUGCAUCGUCUUGCCCUGGCCCUGCAUUCCCAUCUCUCCUUCUCCACCUCUUGACGAGCCAAUUCAACCUGCAAAUUUAAAUGAAAGAAAUGACUGCUUUCCUGCCAGACAUAUCACCUCAGUUGGUUUGUUGUGCAGACCCAGGCCCAGCAAGGAGGAAGAGUUGAGACUUGUGUGGGGAUGGGGAGAAAGAAAGGGAGAAAAAAAAAAAAAAAGCAGACAUCAGUUAGUCUGGUGGUGCUGUACUAACUGUGCCUUAGAUGCAAGUUUCCAGUGAAGGGGAAUGAUCCUGAUUUGGCUUUUGUUUGCAUGUGUGUUUUUUUUUCACCAAAAACUAACGACCAAAAUAAAACAUAUUUUUCAUCCCAAUCGGCUAUAGUGCCAGCACAAGGGAAGAGCAAAAAUAGGAUGAAAAGGGGUGGCAGGAUCUGCCCUUCUUCUAGCAGUCACAAAACGACAGCCUAGAUUCAUUCUUCAGUGAAAUUCUUGUUGGGAGAUAGAUUUUAGGAUUACUGGCUUUUGAUGUGCUUCAGCACAGAAGUACUACAUUUGAAUGUUACCUAUACUUUUCAACAAGUGUCCUGUGUAAAGGGAACUUUUUUUUAAGAGAAUUAACCAAAAAUUCAGAACAGCUUGAAAAAAUACAACGUUUUGAUAAUUUUAUCUAAAUUAAAAUACUAUUAAUCAUUCUCUUAAAGGUUUUUAUCAAAUGCUGGCACUUCAAAUCUGCCAAUCAGUGAUGAUGCUUGCAGUAAAGAGUUGUCCAGUAGGUUAGCUUGAGCACUGAACAAUUUCUGAUAGUCCAGCAUGCUGUAUUUUGUGUGUUUCUUUUCCACUAACAAACUUGAGUUGUAUUUGAACUAUUUGCCAUUCUUGUGCAAGUCUUAAUCUAAGCGUCUUAAUAUAAGCUUCACCUUUUAGAACGGUGUGUGCUGGAUUUAUCCACUUAAAGGACAGUUAAAUGUUAUCUUUUACCACGAUACAGAUAUACAUAAUAGAUGCCUGUGUUGCUAAAUUUUAGUGCUGCUUAUUACUAAUCUUUGUGCAUGUGGACCGAGCUUUUAUGUGAAUUUCCUCCAUGGUGUUUGCAGAUACUGAGGUUAGUCUGACCAGCGUAUAGAUCUUCAGGUUCUCCUUAAACACAGGCGUGAUGUUUGUCUGCCAGUUGUCAGGAACCUCCCUCUCCCAAAAACCUCUCCAAUGUGAUAGAAAGCCUCAAAAUGGUGUCAGCCAGCUCCCUCAGUGCUCUGGGAUGCAGCCCUUCCAGUCCCAUGGACUUCUGUACAUCCUCAUGGUUUACACAUUCCCUAACGCAUUUCCUCUGCUUGUCUCUCACAGACUGCAAAGGUUUUGUCUAAGAAAAAGAGUUUUGACAAUCUUUGAAAAAAAUAAACACCGUGAAUGAGCAGCAAAGCCAUUUAGCCCAGACCACCAAACAGCAGUUAUAUAUAGCUGCUCAAGGUGUGCCAAGAGGCUUACAGCUCAAAUCCAGUGUUGGGUAUGUUUCACCCUUUGUAUGAUGUGCGGAGCUUAGGUAGGAGCUGAGAGGGUGUGCCUCUGACACCCUGUGUCCAGUGCGGUAGUGGCUGUUCAGGAAGUACAAUGAAAUUCUCAAAGGCUGCUGAAGAGCUCUAGACCCUCACACACAAGGUUUUUUACAGGGACUAUCACCUUGGGCCAUCUGCCUAAAUGUUCUGCAUAGUCUCUUUAGAGUGAGUCCUUCCUUGUAUUUACUUCUAAUUCCCUGAAAAUAAAGCUUUGUUCUUGGAGGUUUUUCCACUUGGGAAAAGCAACAUCUAGUUUAGCAAGUCCAUACAUCAAUCUCCUGUCAGCCUCAAAAGCCAUCCCACAGCUACCCUCUGGUAUCUGUAUACUGUGUUCCUGUCCUCUGCCCUGGCAUUUCCCUGAAGUAAAAUGGUGGCUGGUUUCACUAGGUUGCCUGGAAAGGCGUCGUGCCAUCUUUGAUGUUUGUCUGAUGGCAACAUGAUACACGAAAUUUGUAGAACAGCUCCCUUAAACUCCACCUGGGUGCAGGUGGUUCAGUAUUCCUUACUGCAGGUUUUCUGGUUGUGUGCUUAUUUUAAUAGAUGUCUUGAAGUCUCAAUUCAAAAAAACAAUAGUUUUUCGAUGGCAACAAAAUAAUCACAGUAGUUCAUCCCAGUUUUAGGUCUGUGUGCUUGCAAUUGUAGGAGAUUCUUGGGGUGCGAGGCUUUUGGAUGCUGUGAUAGGUGUCUUCCUUUCUGACACAGACUGCUCCAAUUAGGGGAGCUGCAGCUAGCAGCUGUACCUGCCCGAUGGGCCGCAAGGAAAGGCACUAAAGUGUCUGCGGGUGCGUUUGUGAUGCCUCUGGUGAUGAUGCUUAUAUGCAGCUUAAACACCGAGUCUGGCAAGAGAAGAAUCUGAGACAUCUUGUACCAGAUACUGCAUGGGAAGUACAGUCAUCUUUCCAGCUCAACAAACUUUUGCCGUCAGCAUCCUAUAAAUUCGUACCUUAUGGAAGCUGAGUUACUCAUUGAGCUACCUUUGUGACGAGGAGAAUCACUUUUGAUUUGUAGCUGGUUUUAUUUAAAGGAGAUCACAAAUUGAUUUGAGACUUUGGGCGCUACUACAGUGUUACCAUCAUGCGUGUUUCUGGAAAUGAAAGCUAACACUUAUUUGGAAACUUUGCUUUCAGCCCUGUCUGAAGGCCAUCUUCAGAAAGGCUCUGCAAUGGCACGUGCCCUGUGUGGCGGGCAGCUGCUUUGUUUUUUUAAGAGGGGAGAGUGCUUGUGGCAAGUACGUGCCAUGAGGGCCUUUAAAAGGAGGUGUGGGGUUUGGGGUUUAUGUUUGCAUGUUUGUUUUUAGUUUGGGGGAAAGUGUGUGUGAUUGCAGAAUGUGUAACUUUGCUUUAGCAGAAGGGCUCUCUUUGUUUUAUGUUAACUUUUGCUUAGCAGAAAUAACGUUGUAAGGCUUUUUAGUAUCAACAGUCUUUUAAUCUCUUGUCACAUUUGCAAACUAUGCUACUCAGCUGAGGGCAGCCUCAGCUUUCCGGGUGACCACGAGGCCUGCAGCAGGUGCAAAGUGUUUUGGGGCCUUUCAGGAAGCUGUCCUGCUUUAAAACCUUUUUCUAGGUGCCUGAUGCUGUUUAAAAAGUACCUUGCAAUGCUGAAGGAAAAAAAAAAACUAUAGCAAUUUAAAGAAUGUGUUAGUAGUAGUUGCCUACCACAGAAAAGUUGAAGAUAAUUUAACUUGUUAAAUAGUCCUGUGUUGAGAGAGCACAGAAACGUGCACCUUUGCAGCAUACAAACUCCUUGGUUUUGACGUUUUCAAAGAGUAUUCAUAUCAUAUUCCAGACUUACAUUCAUUUUAAAAUUAAAACUUCAGUUAAUUAUGCCAGCAAUUGUGUAACUUAUGCCAGCUAAUUCUGAAGUUUUUCUCUUAAUGUUGAUGCUUUUGGCUCACAUAGCUGGAAUCGGAAGGCAUGUACUGGCAGUCAGGUGAAUGCAUGUUGUUCAUCAGGCUGAUCUAAUAACUAGGCCCAGGCUAAUUGUGGUUGGGGUACAGAAGUCUCGUGCGCAAGGAGGUGUUUCUGGUUUGUGUUGUGGGAGUAAGCCUAAAGUGAUAGGAGAAACAUCAGACAGGGACAGCAUUCCUCACCCCCAGUAUUCCUCAUGCUGGUUGGUGAAACUUUGGCUUUGUAGAGUUUCUUAUUGGGAUUAGAACUGAUGUAGACAUGCUUAAAUAACAAAUUCUGUGAAUGGCAAAGGCACUUAAGAAGCCUCUGGUAAACAAGAUGAGGAUGGACUUUUGAGACUAAGAGUAAGAUAUGUAGGCCUUCAGUACCGGGAGGAAAUUUGAGUGGAGUUUAUCUGCAGUGUAUCAUUACUUGAAUUUUAAAGAGAGAUGGCCGUAUCAUGUUGUGCACGUUCCUAUUAAAUGCAAGUGACGCAUUUGGAAGUAUUCAUUUAUUUGGUCAUCUUCUGUAUCACUCUGAGGUGCGUGGAAAUCAGACAUUCUAAUCCCUUGAAAAGGAAUAGAGAUGCUGAGAAAUUCAUUAUAGUAAUUUAAAGAAGACCUCGUGGUAAUAAAUACAGGAAAAGGUAAAUUUAUAUUCUGCUUACAAAAUUCUGCUGUUAGUACAAUAACUUUUCCUUGUGCAAAUGUAACUAUUUGUACCGUAUUACUGAGGCAAAGUUUUGGGAUAUGCUUCUUUCCCUGAGCAUGCCUGGGCCUUGUCAGUAUACGUAUCUGAAGGGAAAUACUGUGUGGAAUCUCUGAGAAUUCUCUCUUUGCGGUUUAUCUGACAUUAACUGAUUAUGAGAUGUACUGUGUUAUACAGAAUUAAUGGUUCUGGAGCAAAUCGGGGGUUUGACUCUUCAUGUGAUCUCUCAGAUGCUGUACUUCAUUUCUGCAGGGGAAAAAAAAAAAAAAAAAGAUCAAAUGUAAGGUUCCUGAAUCAGGCAUAAACUAAAGAACUGCUGUUUUUCCUGAAGUAGGAGGUUAAGGAAGGAAGGCUUUGAAGCUAGGUGGGGAGCCAGGAACAAUGGGACAAAUGCAUACAUGCAACUAAGAACAACAUUCAGUGACUAAAGUAAAUACCACAGAAAAUGGGAGGGGAAGAAAAAAAAAAAAAAAAAAGGAAAAAAAAAUACAACC